rnacentral:lncRNA from 1 species
GUAGUAUUGUUAGUCUGUCUUGUAUUCUCCAUAUUGUUCGGUUUAAUAAACAUCGUUCUCUACAUUAAUCCCUUUGUGUUUUGUUUACUUUUAAACCUUUUUUUUUCCAGUGUGUGAUCUAGUAUACUUCAAUAUUGUCAUAUAAUUUUGUUCCUUAAAAUCUGGUUUAGAAUCAACGUGUGUUAUUGGAGUUUUCGCGCCCAACAAGUGGUAUCAGAGCUAGGUUAUUCUACAGUAGAUUGGUUGAAGUUUUUCAAAGGUAACUACCAUGAAGUAUGACAUUCCACUGCUGGAUCGUAAUACAAAGUUUUUUUUUUUUUUUUUUUUUGUAACAAGUAAAGAUGAGGGUUAUUCUGACGCAGUUGGAUUUGGACAAUGUGUUGCUGGAUUUUGAGAGGAUACCAGCUGGAUGGACAACGGAAGGAUCGGAAAGCUAUGUCAUUGUUUCAUCUUUAUCUAUCCAACAACAUUCUGCAGAAUGUCUCGAACGAGAAAACAGCGGCUGCUUUGUGGUUGAGGUUACAGUAGUUGUGUAUAACUAAGAGUUUUACAAGUAAACUGGCUUUUAAGCGGAAGCUUUAUUUCCAUUGCAUGGCGGAAGGAGAGUCGUUGGAAGACCAUAUUGCCGUGUUCAAGAAAAUAGUUGCAGAUCUGAAGACGUUGGAGGUUAAGUAUGAUAAAGAGGAUCUCGCAUUGAUCUUGUUGUGUUCGCUGCCUAGGUCUUAUGCGUCGUUUCAGGAUACUAUCUUGUAUAGUCGAUAUACUUUGAUUAUAAAAGAUAUCUAUGAUACUUUGCACUCAAAGGAGGAGAUAAAGCAUUUGGUUGGAGUUACAUCAAGGGAUGGGGAAGCUUUUGUAUCUCAAGGUGGUCGACGAAGAGGCAGAUCGAGAGUUAGAUUUAGCAAUGUGACCUGUUACGACUGCAAAAGGAAGAGAUAUAUUCUGAAGGAUUGCAAUAUGUUGCAGGCUAAAGGUGAUUUAGUUACAAAUUGUGGAGUGCAACCUUUGAAUUCAGACAAAACCCAUUUGAGAAUUGUUCAGAUAGAGAAGAGGUGAUAUUAACCGUGGUAUCUAACGUGGAAUCUAGGUCUGACGAGGAGUGAAUUCUUGAUUCAACGUGUUCACACUAUAUGUGUUCCGAUAGGAAUUUAUUUCAGACAUAUGAAGUUGUUUAGCAAGGUGAAAUUGUAAUGGGAAACAACCAAUCUUGUCGUAUUGAUCAAUCGAGUUAGAUUGAGGCUACGGGAUGAAACAUUUAGAACAAUUGAUCAAGUUCGACAUGUUUCUGAUCUGAAAAGGAAUCUCAUUUCGCUAAGUAACUGGAUGCAAAAGAUUAUAAAUUCUCCGGAGGAGGUGGAGUCUCGAUGGUCCGAAAGGGAGUUCGAAUUGUACUGGAGGAACAAAGAAGAUCAUAGUUGUAUAUUUUGCAGGAGAGUGCAGAACCAGUGAAGAGGGGACAUUUGGAUAAGAUUAGUACCGUAGUAGUUCAAUUUGGUAUAAUACCUCUUGUGUUGGGCUCUGAGUCGGUUCAAAACACUGUUGGUGAUCCCACUUUGCUACCAAUUUCAGCAGGUACACUGUGUUCAGGUGCUGGGGUAGGACUCAUCAAGCGUAGGUACCGUGGUCUCAACAAUGUCUGGGAUACUUCUGGGGAUAUUGAAGGCGACAGUUCCAGCAAGAGGCCUUUUGAACAAGCAUCUGGUUUGGUUCUUGUUACAGGAUAUGCUUCGGCCCUGUGUGAUUAACAUUAAUUCCUUGGUGGAAUUAGGAACCUUAGGUUUGGGUUCGGGUGUCGAUUGUGGAUGUCGGACAGAGGACAAGUGUUUGGUUUAUAUGGAGUGGUUACUGUGUUGAGGAGAUUCGACCAGUUCAUUUCAUUGAAACGAAUUUGAAAUCAAGGAGUUUCGUUCGUUGCACCGGAAUUUGAGUCAAGGUGGAGAUUGUUAGGAGUAUGACUCAAAUAGGAGUCUUUUGAAGAGGCAUAUUUGACGUGGACUAGGAGAAUAUUAUCCUAGGACUUCAAGGAAACUAAAUUGAAUAAGGAAACAAAAUCCUGUCGAAAUUGAGCCUCCUAAUUGUAAUAUAAAUACGAGAUUCCUCUGGUC